ACCAGAUUUCACCUCUGGGAGCUGGGAGGGUUCGCUCCAGGUGAAAAGCACUCUUGACCAAUCUGAACUCCCAACAGUGCCUGCACGGAGCCUACCACAUAAGGUUUUGUAGGUUUUCUCUUAGACACAAAAACAUCAUCUCUUCACUUCAAGGCGUCGUCGCCUGUACUUGGAUGUGUGUAUCUGGACGUGCACAUGAACUCUGAGUUGCAUUUUUCUACAGACCGUUUCUGCAAGUUUCCCUUUGCCAGAGACGGGGAAACAGCACAUUUUUAGCUGCUUCAUCUAGCACCGUAAGUAUCAAAGGAAAAACGAAAGUGUUGAAAUUAAUUUCGUUAGCAGAGUGUAAAGGAAGGACCUGUGCGGUGUGGGCCACCCCGGGAGCUGGGCACCACUGACUGAGUGGUGAGAAGGGACCUGGAGAAGGCAGUCUGCCCAGGGUCCCACCCUAGGGGAACCUGGCUCACGGCAGACAUCUGACUGAUUGGCUUUACAAGGGAGGAAUGACUAAGCAGAAUUAAAGUGAAAACACUGUGUACCACUUGUGAGUAAGAGUUUACUCCGAGUGAAUAAUAGUUUCCACAGAGAAAGGAAACUUCAAACAGUGAUUAACAAAGAGAUAUGCCAUCAGAGAGUUUAGGAGCAACCUGGCCACCUCCAUCUGGCACAUGGCGGAGAGCCUCCUGCAUCAUGGAGGGUGAAGACAGCCACGCACAGUGCUGGUGGAGGUGGGGGUGAGACGCAGGGUGUGUGAGAUGUGUGAAGGUCGGUUCUGCUAAUCUAUACCCCUUUUUUUGGGCUUUUCCAACAUUUUUCAGUGCAUGACUUACCCAUUAUCUGGGGGACUGAGGGAGGGAUAUUCAUUCCUUUAAUAAAACUUGAGUACCUAUUGUGUGUUAGGCAAUGAUAAAGCCGUGGAAACUCCAAUGUCAGGAAGAAAGGCACUCCCUUGGAGAUCUCACAGUGUGGUCAGGGAGACAGAUGGGAUUACGAUUACGAUACAACAUGUGAUGGGCUAGAAUGGAGAAAGUACAAAGUAUGAGGGUGCAAUAAUGCAGAUCUGCUUUCCCUUGGGUUCAGUAAGACUUGACCUUUGAUCUGAGACUUGAGGCUGAAUGAGAAUGGACAG